UGGGGAGCAUCUGAGAAGUCCCGUGACUUUCGUCUUGGGCGGCGCUGAAGUUUUUCAUCGAUAUUCUCUUGAGAUAAAAAUGGGUACCUUUUGUAUGGCCAUCUGUGUUCACUAUAAGAUGGUUGAGGCCACCAAACUUUGUUUUGGCACCAUGGGCAGAAUUGAGAAAUUUCGUUGCUAUGAAGGACAGUGCGAUAUAUAAAUUCUCAAGAAUAAAUAAACAGCGCAUGUGGCUCUAGAUCCUGCCUUCCUCACUCUGGGGAUAUUGUAUAGAUCGUAAUUCUUCACUUCUAAAAUUCAUGAUCUUUAGGCCCCCCUACUUUGGCAGGAAGGUAGAAUCCCUCGAGGAAAAAAAAGUGAGAUACUUCUAACCAGAGAUUUCAGUCGAUAGUCAUUUCCAAAUGGUUUGAUGGCUUAGCUAUUUUCGGCUUGUAGC